rnacentral:rRNA from 1 species
AAUCAACGCUGGCGGCGCGCUUAACACAUGCAAGUCGAGCGAGAAAGUGGAGCAAUCCAUGAGUAAAGCGGCGUACGGGUGAGUAACACGUGGAUUAUCUACCUUUUAGUGGGGAAUAACUUUGGGAAACCGAAGCUAAUACCGCAUAAGCCUGAGAAGGGAAAGCAGCAAUGCGCUGAAAGAGGAGUCCGCGGCCGAUUAGCUAGUUGGUGAGGUAAUGGCCCACCAAGGCGAUGAUCGGUAGCCGGCCUGAGAGGGCACACGGCCACACUGGCAC